AGUCCUUCUCAACUCCCCUUUGUGAAGCCAUAUACAGGACAAUAUGACGGGGAGGACAUUACUCACUGGCAGUAGCUCUGGCGACUUGUACCAUAUUCAAGCAGAUCCUACAAUCUCAGGGAAGCUAGUCUUUUAUGGUGAAAGGACUACCCAAGAUAUUUGGCAUACAAGACUUGGCCAUCCGUCUCAUGAUGUUUUUCGUAUUUUACUUAAUAAAUUUCACUUGCCUGUUAGUGGUAAGGUUGAUUCUCAUAAGGCUUGUCAUAUUUGCCCUUUGGGAAAAUCAUGUAGACUUCCCUUUUCCAAUCGUACUUUUUAUGCUCAUGAACCCCUUGCAGUACUUCAUCUAGAUUUAUGGGGACCAGCCCCAGUCUCCUCAAA